rnacentral:rRNA from 1 species
AUUGAACGCUAGCGGGAUGCCUUACACAUGCAAGUCGAACGGAGUGGCCAACGGGUGAGUAAUGUAUCUAAACGUGCCCAGUCGCGGGGGAUAACUACGUGAAAGCGUAGCUAACACAGCAUGCUAUUUGAGCGGCCGAUAUCGGUUUAGCUAGUUGGUGGGGUAACGGCUCACCAAGGCGACGAGCCGUAGCUGGUUUGAGAGGACGACCAGCCAAACUGGGACUGAGACACGGCCCAGACUCCGACGGGAGGCAGCAGUGGGGAAUUUUGGACAAUGGGGGAAACCCUGAUCCAGCCAUCCCGCGUGUGCGAUGAAGGCCUUCGGGUUGUAAAGCACUUUUGGCAGGAAAGCGGGACCUGCAGAAUAAGCACCGGCUAACUACGUGCCAGCAGCCGCGGUAAUAC